CGCCUCGGAGCCUGCGGGCGCCGCCGAGGCCGAGGAGCGCUCGCUGCAGCACAUGCUGCGCGCCAUAGCCGACGAGCGCGGCCGCGUCUGCCUGCGCCGGGAGGUCUGCGGCCUCGGGUGCUUCAAGGAUGACCGCAUCGUCUUCUGGACGUGGAUGUUCUCCACCUACUUCAUGGAGAAAUGGGCUCCCCGGCAGGAUGACAUGCUUUUCUACGUGCGCCGGAAGCUGGCUUAUGCUGGCAGUGAGAGCAGCACCGAGGGGAGGAAGGUGGCUGAGGCCGAGCCCGAGGUGGAGGUGGAGGUGUACCGGCGGGACUCCAAGAAGCUGCCGGGCCUGGGAGACCCUGACAUUGACUGGGAGGAGAGCGUCUGCCUGAAUCUCAUCCUGCAGAAGUUGGACUACAUGGUGACCUGUGCGGUGUGCACGCGCACGGAUGUCGGGGACAUUCACAUCCACAAGAAGAAAUCCCAGCAAGUGUUUGCGUCCCCCAGUAAACACCCCAUGGACAGCAAAGGGGAGGAGUCCAGGAUCAGCUACCCCAACAUCUUCUUCAUGAUCGACAGCUUCGAGGAGGUGUUCAGCGACAUGACUGUGGGGGAAGGAGAGAUGGUCUGUGUGGAGCUGGUGGCCAGCGACAAAACCAACACGUUCCAAGGCGUCAUCUUCCAGGGCUCCAUCCGCUAUGAGGCGCUGAAGAAGGUGUACGACAACCGAGUGAGCGUGGCCGCCCGCAUGGCACAGAAGAUGUCGUUUGGCUUCUACAAGUACAACAACAUGGAGUUUGUGCGCAUGAAGGGGCCGCAGGGCAAGGGCCACGCUGAGAUGGCGGUCAGUCGGGUGUCCACAGGCGACACGUCCCCCUGUGGGACUGAGGAGGACUCCAGCCCAGCAUCGCCCAUGCAUGAGCCGGUGACCUCCUUUAGCACCCCUCCCACCCCGGAGCGGAACAACCGGCCCACCUUCUUCUCCCCGUCCCUCAAGAGGAAGGUGCCCCGGAACCGGAUCGCUGAGAUGAAGAAGUCGCAUUCGGCCAACGACAGUGAGGAAUUCUUCCGAGAGGACGACGGUGGAGCCGAUCUGCACAACGCAACCAACCUGCGGUCCCGGUCCCUGUCCGGCACGGGAAGGUCGCUGGUCGGGUCCUGGCUGAAGCUGAACAGAGCAGACGGAAACUUCCUUCUCUAUGCACACUUAACCUAUGUCACUUUGCCACUGCAUCGGAUUCUGACAGACAUCCUGGAAGUGCGGCAGAAGCCCAUCCUGAUGACCUAGCCGUGCGCGGAGCCCGUGUGGAGCCCCGGCCCCGCCCGGCCCUGGGAGUGCUGCCAAGUGCCUACCUGUCCACCGCCACCGGAGUCUUCUGUGACAAGCCAGCGCCGGAGCCGCAGCCAGGCGGGGCCACUCAACUCCCGGGGCCAGGGCCGACUCCACGACCACCAGCCCAAACUGAAGUGCCUCUUUCUCCUCCCUUGCUGGCUCUGCUCCGCCCCUCGCCCACCGCCCAGCGCCAGCGCCCAGCCGGCUCUGCAGAGCCCUCUGCACCCAGAGAGGACAGAGGUGUCAAGAGGCCGUAACAGAGAGUGGCCGUGGGGAGAUGGGAACCCAAGAUGUUUGAUGGCUUUGCCCUGGGCUGGGAGUGCCUCACCCGUGCCCAGCUCCAGAAAGACCUUGAGCUGACAGGCCCCGGUCCUGCCAGAACGGCCUUUUGCUUCCAGCCAAAGAACACCGCCAACGCACACACCUCCGCCCGCGACGCCGGCCGGGCCUCACACGGAGUGACCG